rnacentral:lncRNA from 1 species
AUCACUUUAGAAUAUAUUAAACAACCUAUCAAGAUUAAUGAGCUUAUUCAGAAAAGAAAAUAAGUCCUGAUCAAUUUCAGCGUGUUUGGACCAGCAGAUUCCAGGUGAUGGAUAGGCAGCUUCAUUUUAAUAGUCUGUUGGUACAGGGUGACCUGUAGCCUUUCCAGAAGAGGUAAAAUGAAUCCUCCGGUUGUCACCCCCUCCUUCCUCGCUCCAAUUCCAUCAUUAAUCCCCGUUUGAGGAUUUGAGUGCUGCCGAGGACUGACAGACUCCAUGAGGUUCAGCUGCUGCCUGGUACAUGUGGUCACCUGCAGCUUCUUCAGCCCUACAUAUAUUUUGUGCUGUUUUAGACUGCUCUUUCUUCCAUUAAAUGAGAGAUUAGAUCUGAAUGGCCACGUGAUCUUCUGAGUCCCAUCUGUAAGAAUCUGCAUUUCCACGGAAUUGGGGGAGCAAACGUUCUCAAAACAUUCUUAAAUGCAAACCCGCAGGCACAGCAUGUGUCUGUCAACUCCAAGAGCAUUUGGAUGUUCGAAGGGAGAGGAUGUUUGACAUCUAACCCGUCGUGGAAAGAGGAGCCUCUUAAGGAACCGGAAACCUGGAGAGUGAGAUGCCAAAGAUUAUGAAAGAAACUGGAAGGAAAGUGAAGACUGGAACAGAGAUUUUCUCAUUCCUGCUUGAGUGUUCUUCCAAUGACUGUGUGUGUGUAGCUUUGAAAAUACAAAGUAUUGGGAAUAGGAACUGUGAUACAAACAAAGACAGUGACAUGAAGGCAAUGGAUUCUCAGCAUUACAAGGCAAGACAGAACUUGAAGGAAGAAGGCUGGGAGGAAACCAAUGUUGAAUGAACACUGACUCUGUGCUCAGCCCUGAGCAAGCAGUGGAAUGCCCCUGGGCUGUGAGCCACGAAUUCAAAUCCCAGCUUGUAGAGCUGUUCUGGGGGUUAGAAGUUUGGGGUCCCUCGUUGCUGCACUCGUUCCAGGUUUGGGGCUGGCGCUGCCCUUCUGACCCCUCCCUAAAGUGGACACAGGAGAAGGAGCGGGGAGAAGAGACAGGCGGCCAGGAGACACCCUGUUGAGGGCUCCCUCUGCUUGCAACAGGACCUGCUGAGGUUGCAGCUGAAGUGCUGGUCUUCCCAGAGAAAACAACCCCUCAUUCUCAAAGGAUGAGAGUGAGCCCUGCGGGGCUGCAUGCUCUUGGCCAUGGGAGAUCAACUGUGGUCACAUAGAGUGUAAUCAGUGUGUAUUUAUGGAUCACUCACUACAUGCAAGACCGGGACACAGCCGGGAUUUACUGUGGGGCUGAAAGCAAGUCACUUAAAAAGGUAAAAAUUCAUGUCCUUUUAAUCUACUUUUCAGCAAGGAACAUCACGUCUGAAUGCUCGCGGCCUCUGCCUGCCCCGUGGGAUGGUGCUGGAAAUUAUACUCAUAUUUAGAUAGCAUUCUCUGCAAGUGGCUGCUGUUGUCCUUCCAUCGUCAGCACAGGCAGAUGCUGGGAGUACCCACCUUGGGGUGAGGUGGCAAGAGAGGGCCAGCUUGUAUCCGCCUCGUUGUCGUCCUUCCUUCCUGACUUGACUCUCUCCUCUGUGGCCUUCUCAGGAGUGGGAUGUGGUUGUGAGGAGAAUGUGCACUUUACCCCUCACCAGUCCAGAGAGGGGCACAUAGCCCAAACCUCUCCCCUUCCCAGAAACCUGCAAGUCCCCCUGGGUGCGCCUGUGUGAUGAGGCAGGCUCCGAGAGCCACAGGCUGGUGGGCCACUAGGAAGCAGUAAAGGAAGACAUUUUAUGAUUGUAGCUGGAGAUAAUGAAUUGAAAAGCUGGUCUCUGUUUCUGGAAAUGAUGCCAGGAGGCCCUCAAAAUAAACGCCCACCUGUCCUUCAGGUCUCAACACCUGUUGCUCUUGGGACAGAGAUCCCAGGCCCAAAAUAGGCACAGCUGCUAUGGAUGCUCGUCUUGCCCUCCUGGAGCUGAGACUGGGCCAUGUUUGGAAAUAUGUCUCCCUCCAUCCCCUCCUCCCAUCCUCAUUUGGAGCCUUAGGGCUUUAAGACGUGAGCUCUUUCCUCGCUCCCUCUCCCCAGUCUUUCUUGGGUAUCUCUGCUCCUCCCAUCACCUGUUCCUGGGCAUGGCAUAGGCAGUUGGUAAAUGACAGAUGAAUGAAUACAUGUACAAGGAAACACAGAUCUGAAAUUUCUAGCAGCAAAGUUUGGAGCAGGAAGCUCUGGCUGGCCCUGGGCUUUUUGCUAAGGGUGUUCUGGCUUCGCGUGGCAGCACCCCUCCCCACCGGGCCUUUGCCAGGACGCUCGAUCCUCUCUUCGGGCUUCUGAGCAGUGUGAAUUGCAAACAGCCAUGCCCACUCCCCAGGCCAAGAAAACCAAGUUCAUGGCCAGGAUUGCUCACAAAAAAAAAAAAAAAAAAAGAACCACUUCUGCCUUAUCAUUCUCUCUUUAUUACCGAAAUGCGGAGACAGAAAGUCAACAGAGAAAGAAUUGUUUUCCCCAAGGCCACACAGAUUGCUCCAACACUUGACUUUUCCUGCUAGGAACUCAAUCCAAGAGAUGGGCUUUCUUUUGUUCUCUGACUAUAAAAGGGUGUCACCUUGUCACCAUCUUCUAUCACACAGGACCCCUAUGGGCUUGGUUUGGUUUUGUUCUUUCAUCAUUAUUAUUUGGAAAGUUAUAUUUCCUUUACUGUCCUUGAGGUGUGAGGCUUCACCUCAUCUUGUCUCCAUAUCCCUGAGUCACUAAGGAGUCCUAUGUCAAUGACACCUCUCCAUAUGCUUUACCUAAGCUGCCCCUUCUCUCAGCAAGUUCGCGCCAGGCUUCCCCAUGAAGGCCACCUAAGGGUGUCUAUCGUCCCCCUCCUAAAUCUCCCCAGGACUUUUGAACAAGGGCCAUGUCCAGUUUAAUGUCACACAAAGAAGACUCAUCAAAGCCCAGGAGUUGGGAGUUCUUGCUCCUCACUGCCAUGGAAAGCAUGAAACAUCUGAGAUAAAAAUAAUCUGUGCCAUCCCCUGGCUCCGGAUGGACAGCAGUUGGGGCAUGAGCGCCUCCAGAAUGUCUCAGCAUUGCUGAGGGUAACCGGAUCGCCGCUCAGAUCCAGCAGGCAGCCUCAGAACCUCCCAGCUGCUGUUGUUUUUAGCACCGGGAUUAUUGGUAGGGGUGUAAAUAGACAUCUGUGUUCUGGGUGGCUCGCUCACCCCACAUUCCUAGGCACACUUGUUUUAUUAAAGCUCUCAGCUGUCGGGUGAUCCAGGCGUGGAGAAAUGAAAGGCCGCCCUCACCAGCUGGUGGUGGACUGCAAACUGCAACCAGUUUUCCCCCAUAAGGACAUGUUACUCCUAUUAGAAACUGUGUCCCUCACAUGUCCUUAAGAAGCGGGCCAUCUGCCAAUCAUAAAUCGAGAUCUCAGCCGUUCCAAAUAAAGAAAGAGUCUACCCUCCUUGCUGGCAGUCCUUUUAUAGUUGACAGAUUUUUUUUUUUAAUCUUGUGCUUGGCCAUGUAUUUCUUGUGUAAUUAAAAAAUUAUAAAAGGUAAUAAAAAAUACAAAUCCACUGCUAAGAGAUUUAAGACUCAAUAAAAAUUUCAGAAAGCCAGAGGUUUCUGGAUAGUAUGAGGAUUACAAGGAGAAGGUUAAUAAAUUCCAUGUCCCAACACCAGAAAAAAAGAAUAAAAGAGAAAAAACAAGGCUAUUUAUGAAAAGGAAAAGUAAUUAGAAAUGGCCCUUAAUGGCUGAGUGUGGUGGCUCAUACCUGUAAUCCCAGCACCUUGGGAGGCCGAGGCGGGUGGAUCACCUAAGGUCAGAAGUUCGAGAUCAUUCUGGCCAACAUGGUAAAACCCCGUCUCUACUAAAAAUACAAAAAAAUUAGCCAGGCAUGGUGGCGUGUGCCUGUAGUCCCAGCUACCUGGGAGGCUGAGGCAUGAGAAUUGCUUGAAACCGGGUGGCAAAAGUUGCACUGAGCCAAGAUCGCACCACUGCGCUCCAGCCUGGGUGACAGAGUGAGACUCCUUCUCAAUAAAAAUAAAAAAUAUAAUAAGAAAUGGUCCUUAAUUUGGAGAGGCUCACCCAAAAAAGUGAGCCUGAAGAGAAGGCGCCCUUCAUUCUUUUGCCACCCUGUUCUGGAGCCCAUGUACGAAAGAGCCAGUGGAUAUUGCAAAUGAGCUAAAGUCACCCAAGUUCCUACUGAAUGGUCAAAGGUCCUAUCUUAAGAGAGGCUCUCUGAGGAUGGGGUGGGCUGAGGUGGUGGACAAGAGGAGGGUUAUAGAGAAACACCUGGAGGACGCUAACAGAAACAGUCGAUCAUCAAAAAGAAAACACGAAGCACGCUUUGGGUUCUAUCAGCCCAGUUUCAACACAGCUUUACCCUGUGCGCCAGCUCUUUUGAGGGAUUUCGCCUGUCUAUGUGGCCGGCUGCCCCGGUAGAAGGUUAGUACUUUGUAGGGUAAAGGAGUCUUAGGAUCUAGAGAGAAUCCAGCUCUGCCAUUUUGACCUUGAACAAAUCACUGAGUUUCGUCUUUUCAUCUGUAAAGUGGGUGAUAAGGUCCAUCUCCUCAUCGCCAAGUCUGUAUGCUGAGGGCACGAGAGAGUGCAUGCCAAGUGCACAUGGGUGGAGUUCAGUAAAUAGUGGCUGAUCUCAUCCUCCUCCUCUCCAUGGUCGGAGGAGACCCCCUCUCUGGCUCGUGUGGCACGGCAGCUCCUGAUUUGGAAUGGAAUUGGUGCUUUCAUUUUUUGCUUCUUAAUAACACAGCUUACAUUUUCUAUAGUCGUGGGCAUCCUUUUUUUAUGGAAUAAAUGAACAUGGGUGACUUUGGUCAUAAUAUUCACUCUUAGAAAAUGAAUCUUUUCAUUUAUAUCCUUCACAAAAUCAGAGCCUAAUAGAAAUAGUCACAGGUCACUUCCAGCACCAAACUCCGCACCUUCUCCUUUGUGGGAAAUGUCACACUUUGCCAAUAAGUGGACACAGGGGGUUCCACGGCCCCAGGUAUUUUCAAGUGCAGAGGCACUCCAGUUCUGCAUAAAAUGCAUCAGGGGCCUCUUUUAUUAAUUCUUUAAGUCAUAAGUUCUGUAAAAUAAGUUUACUUCAACGAUCUCUCGCUUACUCUUCCUUUCUGGUAUGUACAUAUUUUACCACCUUUUUUUUUUCUUUUUGAGACAGAGUCUUGCUCUGUCUCCAGGCCGGAGUGCAGUGGUGUGAUCUUGGCUCACUGCAACCUCCGCCUCCUGGGUUCAAGCGAUUCUCCUGCCUC